rnacentral:lncRNA from 1 species
GUAAAAAUAGCUUGUAAAAAUUGUAUGUGUUUAAAUUAUGGUGAAAAUAUGCAAAUUACAUUAUUAAUACAAUGUGUUUUUAUUGAUGGUGUCCUAUAAUACAAUGUGUUCUUAUUGAUGAUGUCCAAUAUGAAGGGAGACAAUCUGUGUAGACAGCAGAACCAAACUUUUAAAUAUGCAUUUUUACAAUAAAUAUUUGCUUUGGUUAAAAGUUAAAACCGGCCGUUUUGGACCCGCAUAGGAUGUCCUGGUUGUUCAACACCCCUUGUAGUUUUUAAGUGUUUAUCAUAAAUAAGUUUGAAUUGCUUCACAUUUUUUAUGUAGGGCCUUUUUCUAGCUUACAAUACAUCGAAUUUGCUUGAUGAUUAAUGCCAUGCAGUAGGCAUUAGUUGCUUACAUUCACAUUAUUCUACCAUUGAAUUGAUAUUUUUCUCAUUGAAUCACACAUUAUCGCCUUAUUUUUCAUUCUGAUCAGUGAUUUAUUAAAAAAAACAGGUCUCUAUAUCCUUGGAAAUAUAGAAUUAUACGACUGAGUCUGGUAUGCUACAACUGUUCAACCUUAAUAUGAAAUAUAUGUACACCAUAUUCCUCCUCUUUUAGUAUUGAGAUCAUUACCGAGUCCAAAUAAACAAUUCCUGCUUCAGGAAGAGAAAAAAUAGAUAUAAGAAGAUGUGGUAUGAGUGUCAAUGAGACAAAUUUCCAUUCAAGUAACAUUUUAUAAAAGUAAACACGGAGCCUUGGCACACACCGAACAGCAAGCCCCAAAAAUUACUUGUGUAAAAACAUUUAAACGGGAAAACCAACGGUCUAAUCUAUAUAACAUGGGAAUCACUUAUGAACUACAUAAACAGCCGACAACUACUGUACAUCAGAUUCCUGACUUAGGACAGGUGCAAACAUUUGCAGCGGAAUUAAACGUUUGAAUGGUACAUGGACCCAACCUUCUCACAUUUCUGAAACAAUAGUAUAACAUCACAACAUAGAAAACAUACUUUAAAAUAUCAGUUAGAAAGCUUAACGCAUUCAAAAAACGCAAAUUAGCACACAAUGAUUGAAUAAAUUUGAUCUGUGAUACCCAAAAGCAAAUGUAUAGCUAAUAAACAC